ACGGAGGGUGCAAGCGUUAUCCGGAUUCAUUGGGUUUAAAGGGUGCGUAGGCGGACUGGAAAGUCAGUGGUGAAAAGUUUGGGCUUAACCCAGACCCUGCCAUUGAUACUAUCAGACUAGAGUACAAACGGCGUGGGCGGAAUAUGUCAUGUAGCGGUGAAAUGCAUAGAUAUGACAUAGAACACCGAUCGCGAAGGCAGCUCACGAGGAUGUUACUGACGCUGAUGCACGAAAGCGUGGGGAUCAAACAG
rnacentral:rRNA from 1 species